CCAUGGCAGUUGGAGGAAUGGCAGUGAUCACACGUCGGCUGCUGGGAAGAUCUGAAUUCUUGUGUCAGGUCAUCAUCAGAAAAGCUAAGUUUGCUGUAUAGUGAGGAUCAAGAGAUCUGAUCCUGAUUGCAGAACCUUCCCUGAUUACAGAAUCUUGGGUUGUAUCUCCCACUUCACCCUUCUAGACCAUCCCAGAAGAUCUAUAAGAUUUCAUCUGGGAAAUCACUAGGAGUUCUUGGAAGGGAAAGAAGGAAGAUUGUUGGUUGGAAUAAAAACAAUGUUGAAUGAAUUCCAGAAAGCAGGAUUCUUAACCUCGUGGACAGCAAUCUGCAGAAGAAGAGAACUUCAGAAAACAAACUCGAAGCAACAUGCAGAGAAGUAAGAUGAGAGGGGUCUCCUCGGGAAAGAAGACCGCUGGUCCACAGCAGAAAAAUCUUGAACCAGCUCUCCCAGGAAGAUGAGGGGGUCGCUCUGUAGAGAACCCCCUUCAGGAUCCAUGAGGAAGACCAGAAAGAACAAACAGAAGACUCCUGGAAACAGAGAUUGUGGCAGUACCAGCGAAGCACCUCAGCCCCCUCGGAAGAAAAGGGCCUGGGCAGACUGUUGAAAGUGAGGAGGCAUUUAAGAAUAGAAUGGAGGUUAAAGUGAAGAUUCCUGAAGAAUUAAAACUGUGGCUUAUUGAGGACUGGGACUUAGUAACCAGACAGAAGCAGCUGUUCCAACUCCCUGCUAAGAAAAAUGUAGAUGGAAUUCUGGAGGAGUAUGCAAGUUGCAAGAAGUCACAGGCAAAUGUUGAUAAUAAGGAAUAUGCAGUUAAUGAAGUUGUGGCAGGAAUAAAAGAAUAUUUCAAUGUGAUGUUGGGCACUCAGCUGCUCUACAAAUUUGAGAGGCCCCAGUAUCCUGAAAUCCUCUUGGCUCACCCUGAUGCUCCAAUGUCUCAGGUUUAUGGAGCCCCACACCUACUGAGAUUAUUUGUAAGAAUUGGAGCAAUGUUGGCCUAUACGCCCCUUGAUGAGAAAAGCCUUGCAUUAUUGUUGGGCUAUUUGCAUGAUUUCCUAAAAUAUCUGGCAAAGAAUUCUGCAUCUCUCUUUACUGCCAGUGAUUACAAAGUGGCUUCUGCUGAGUACCACUGCAAAGCCCUGUGAGCGUCUACAGACAGCUCAUCAUUUUUGUCCUGUAUCUGUAAACACUUUUUGUUCUUAGUCUUUUUCUUGUAAAAUUGAUGUUCUUUAAAAUCGUUAAUGUAUAACAGCGCUUAUGUUUCAGUUUUUUUCUGUUCUGUUUUAAACAGAAAAUAAAAGGAGCAUAAGCUCCUUUUCUCAUUUCAAAGUUGCUACCAGUGUAUGCAGUAAUUAGAACAAAGAAGAAACAGUAGAACAUUUUAUUGUCUAGUUGACAACAUUGCUUGAAUGCUGGUGGUUCCUAUCCCUUUGACACUACACAAUUUUCUAAUAUGUGUUAAUGCUAUGUGACAAAACGCCCUGAUUCCUAGUGCCAAAGGUUCAACUUAAUGUAUAUACCUGAAAACCCAUGCAUUUGUGCUCUUUUUUUUUUUAUGGUGCUU